rnacentral:rRNA from 1 species
UGGGGAAUUUUGGACAAUGGGGGAAACCCUGAUCCAGCCAUCCCGCGUGUGCGAUGAAGGCCUUCGGGUUGUAAAGCACUUUUGGCAGGAAAGAAACGUCAUGGGUUAAUACCCCGUGAAACUGACGGUACCUGCAGAAUAAGCACCGGCUAACUACGUGCCAGCAGCCGCGGUAAUACGUAGGGUGCAAGCGUUAAUUGGAAUUACUGGGCGUAAAGCGUGCGCAGGCGGUUCGGAAAGAAAGAUGUGAAAUCCCAGAGCUCAACUUUGGAACUGCAUUUUUAACUACCGGGCUAGAGUGUGUCAGAGGGAGGUGGAAUUCCGCGUGUAGCAGUGAAAUGCGUAGAUAUGCGGAGGAACACCGAUGGCGAAGGCAGCCUCCUGGGAUAACACUGACGCUCAUGCACGAAAGCGUGGGGAGCAAACAGG